GAGUGGCGAACGGGUGAGUAACACGUGGGUAACCUGCCCAUCAGAAGGGGAUAACACUUGGAAACAGGUGCUAAUACCGUAUAACAAUCGAAACCGCAUGGUUUUGAUUUGAAAGGCGCUUUCGGGUGUCGCUGAUGGAUGGACCCGCGGUGCAUUAGCUAGUUGGUGAGGUAACGGCUCACCAAGGCCACGAUGCAUAGCCGACCUGAGAGGGUGAUCGGCCACAUUGGGACUGAGACACGGCCCAAACUCCUACGGGAGGCAGCAGUAGGGAAUCUUCGGCAAUGGACGAAAGUCUGACCGAGCAACGCCGCGUGAGUGAAGAAGGUUUUCGGAUCGUAAAACUCUGUUGUUAGAGAAGAACAAGGAUGAGAGUAACUGUUCAUCCCUUGACGGUAUCUAACCAGAAAGCCACGGCUAACUACGUGCCAGCAGCCGCGGUAAUACGUAGGUGGCAAGCGUUGUCCGGAUUUAUUGGGCGUAAAGCGAGCGCAGGCGGUUUCUUAAGUCUGAUGUGAAAGCCCCCGGCUCAACCGGGGAGGGUCAUUGGAAACUGGGAGACUUGAGUGCAGAAGAGGAGAGUGGAAUUCCAUGUGUAGCGGUGAAAUGCGUAGAUAUAUGGAGGAACACCAGUGGCGAAGGCGGCUCUCUGGUCUGUAACUGACGCUGAGGCUCGAAAGCGUGGGGAGCAAACAGGAUUAGAUACCCUGGUAGUCCACGCCGUAAACGAUGAGUGCUAAGUGUUGGAGGGUUUCCGCCCUUCAGUGCUGCAGCUAACGCAUUAAGCACUCCGCCUGGGGAGUACGACCGCAAGGUUGAAACUCAAAGGAAUUGACGGGGGCCCGCACAAGCGGUGGAGCAUGUGGUUUAAUUCGAAGCAACGCGAAGAACCUUACCAGGUCUUGACAUCCUUUGACCACUCUAGAGAUAGAGCUUCCCCUUCGGGGGCAAAGUGACAGGUGGUGCAUGGUUGUCGUCAGCUCGUGUCGUGAGAUGUUGGGUUAAGUCCCGCAACGAGCGCAACCCUUAUUGUUAGUUGCCAUCAUUCAGUUGGGCACUCUAGCAAGACUGCCGGUGACAAACCGGAGGAAGGUGGGGAUGACGUCAAAUCAUCAUGCCCCUUAUGACCUGGGCUACACACGUGCUACAAUGGGAAGUACAACGAGUCGCGAAGUCGCGAGGCUAAGCUAAUCUCUUAAAGCUUCUCUCAGUUCGGAUUGCAGGCUGCAACUCGCCUGCAUGAAGCCGGAAUCGCUAGUAAUCGCGGAUCAGCACGCCGCGGUGAAUACGUUCCCGGGCCUUGUACACACCGCCCGUCACACCACGAGAGUUUGUAACACCCGAAGUCGGUGAGGUAACCUUUUGGAGCCAGCCGCCUAAGGUGGGAUAGAUGAUUGGGGUGAAGUCGUAACAAGGUAGCCGUAUCGGAAGGUGCGGCUGGAUCACCUCCUUU
rnacentral:rRNA from 1 species